GCGUUUCCGGGGGGCGGGUCGGCGGGUCGUCUCUCGGAUUGCCGGCGACGGAAGCUUCCGGGUCGAGCGGGAGGCGCUAGGGGUAGCCGGGCCUACGAAGGGCGCGUUAUCAAAGUGUUGUUCCACGUCGCUCCAGAACAAUGCCAAUAAUAUUGAGGGAAAGUAUCCUUCGCGGAACUGCUGGCCUAGAGGGUCUCGAUGAUGAGCUAGAGGUCUGAAUGAAGUCAAAGAACCACCAUGGAGGGAUCAAGGGAGACAGCUGGUGGGAGAGGAGUUGUGAAGAAAACAGGACGGUAGUCUCAAGAUUUCAGAGGUGGCCGCAGUUCUCUGCAAGCCAAAGUCCGUGUUGCCGCCUAGGAAUCAGUUGCUGAAGUGCGGGGCACAGUUCAUUGGAAUGAGAGUUUUAUUGAGAUAUAAUUGACAUACAGCACAGUUUAGGGUGUACAGC